rnacentral:rRNA from 1 species
GACGAACGCUGGCGGCGUGCUUAACACAUGCAAGUCGAACGGAAAGGCCCUGCUUUUGUGGGGUGCUCGAGUGGCGAACGGGUGAGUAACACGUGAGUAACCUGCCCUUGACUUUGGGAUAACUUCAGGAAACUGGGGCUAAUACCGGAUAGGAGCUCCUGCUGCAUGGUGGGGGUUGGAAAGUUUCGGCGGUUGGGGAUGGACUCGCGGCUUAUCAGCUUGUUGGUGGGGUAGUGGCUUACCAAGGCUUUGACGGGUAGCCGGCCUGAGAGGGUGACCGGCCACAUUGGGACUGAGAUACGGCCCAGACUCCUACGGGAGGCAGCAGUGGGGAAUAUUGCACAAUGGGCGGAAGCCUGAUGCAGCAACGCCGCGUGCGGGAUGACGGCCUUCGGGUUGUAAACCGCUUUCGCCUGUGACGAAGCGUGAGUGACGAUAAUGGGUAAAGAAGCACCGGCUAACUACGUGCCAGCAGCCGCGGUGAUACGUAGGGUGCGAGCGUUGUCCGGAUUUAUUGGGCGUAAAGGGCUCGUAGGUGGUUGAUCGCGUCGGAAGUGUAAUCUUGGGGCUUAACCCUGAGCGUGCUUUCGAUACGGGUUGACUUGAGGAAGGUAGGGGAGAAUGGAAUUCCUGGUGGAGCGGUGGAAUGCGCAGAUAUCAGGAGGAACACCAGUGGCGAAGGCGGUUCUCUGGGCCUUUCCUGACGCUGAGGAGCGAAAGCGUGGGGAGCGAACAGGCUUAGAUACCCUGGUAGUCCACGCUGUAAACGGUGGGUACUAGGUGUGGGGUCCAUUCCACGGGUUCCGUGCCGUAGCUAACGCUUUAAGUACCCCGCCUGGGGAGUACGGCCGCAAGGCUAAAACUCAAAGGAAUUGACGGGGCCCCGCACAAGCGGCGGAGCAUGCGGAUUAAUUCGAUGCAACGCGUAGAACCUUACCUGGGUUUGACAUGGAUCGGGAGCGCUCAGAGAUGGGUGUGCCUCUUUUGGGGUCGGUUCACAGGUGGUGCAUGGCUGUCGUCAGCUCGUGUCGUGAGAUGUUGGGUUAAGUCCCGCAACGAGCGCAACCCUUGUUCACUGUUGCCAGCACGUUAUGGUGGGGACUCAGUGGAGACCGCCGGGGUCAACUCGGAGGAAGGUGGGGAUGACGUCAAGUCAUCAUGCCCCUUAUGUCCAGGGCUUCACGCAUGCUACAAUGGCUGGUACAGAGAGUGGCGAGCCUGUGAGGGUGAGCGAAUCUCGGAAAGCCGGUCUCAGUUCGGAUUGGGGUCUGCAACUCGACCUCAUGAAGUCGGAGUCGCUAGUAAUCGCAGAUCAGCAACGCUGCGGUGAAUACGUUCCCGGG